CGAGCUCAGUAGCGAGAGCUUUUAACCUAAGUUGGGGCUUUAAGUUGGUUGGACAUUGCAAUCGGUCCUGUUCGGUAGGGCGUGGUGAGUGUCAUUUGUUGGCUCGCCCACUCCAAGUUGGGAGUUGGGUCAUGUGAAUCAGGCUAAAGCUUGGAUUAUGUGGUUCCUAGAGAGGAGGGUACUGCGUCAGGCUGGUUUCACAGAGGAGCGAGUACCUCCCGUUUCUUACGGUGGAAGGAUAACGAGUCAUUGCACCCCAGGCCUCACUCGCCGGGUGAGCCGACUCAGUUGGACAACCAAUUUU
rnacentral:SRP_RNA from 1 species